rnacentral:rRNA from 1 species
AGUGUAAUAACUCCCAAACCCAUGUGAACAUACCUUACGUUGCCUCGGCAGGUCGCGCCCCACCCGGAAGAGCCCUACCCUGUAGGGUCCUACCCGGUGGACGCGGGUAAGCCUGCCGGCGGCCCACGAAACUCUGUUUAGCAUUGUACUUCUGAACAAUAUAACUAAAUAAGUUAAAACUUUCAACAACGGAUCUCUUGGUUCUGGCAUCGAUGAAGAACGCAGCGAAAUGCGAUAAGUAAUGUGAAUUGCAGAAUUCAGUGAAUCAUCGAAUCUUUGAACGCACAUUGCGCCCAUUAGUAUUCUAGUGGGCAUGCCUGUUCGAGCGUCAUUUCAACCCUUAAGCCCUGUUGCUUAGCGUUGGGAGCCUGCGAUCGCAGCUCCUCAAAGUUAGUGGCGGAGUCGGUACACACUCUAGACGUAGUAAUUCUUAUCUCGCCUAUAGGCUGUGCCGGUCCCCUGCCGUUAAACCCCCUAAUUUUUAAAGGUUGACCUCGGAUCAGGUAGGAAUACCCGCUGAACUUAAGCAUAUCAAUAAGCGGAGGAAAAGAAACCAACAGGGAUUGCCCUAGUAACGGCGAGUGAAGCGGCAACAGCUCAAAUUUGAAAUCUGGCCCUCGGGUCCGAGUUGUAAUUUGUAGAGGAUGCUUUUGGCGCGGUGCCUUCCGAGUUCUCUGGAACGAGACGCCUUAGAGGGUGAGAGCCCCGUACGGUUGGACACCAAGCCUCUGUAAAGCUCCUUCGACGAGUCGAGUAGUUUGGGAAUGCUGCUCUAAAUGGGAGGUAAAUUUCUUCUAAAGCUAAAUAUUGGCCAGAGACCGAUAGCGCACAAGUAGAGUGAUCGAAAGAUGAAAAGCACUUUGAAAAGAGGGUUAAAUAGCACGUGAAAUUGUUGAAAGGGAAGCGUUUGCGACCAGACCUUUUCCUGGCGGAUCAUCCGGUGUUCUCACCGGUGCACUUCGCCAGGUUUAGGCCAGCAUCGGUUUCUGUAGGGGGAUAAAAGCUCUGGGAACGUAGCUCCCUCGGGAGUGUUAUAGCCCUCUGCAUAAUACCCUUACGGGGACCGAGGACCGCGC